AAAAUACAAAAUAGGUAUUUGGUUGAGAAAAUAGUGCCUAUAGUAUAUUAUAUAAUGCGUUGGUCACCCGUUUAAAUUUAAGAAGAGAGGGAAGGGAGGAAGCAAUUCAUGUUGCUUAAAUAAUAUAGUUUUUGUGUUUUGUGCUUUUAUCUUUUAUCUCUUUUUAAAUGUUGUUGAUUUUUUGUGUGUUUUUUUAGGGGGGGGGGGGGGGAGGGGGUGUGAUGAUAAGUGAAAGGAUGUUAAUGAAAAAGACUUCUAUUGUUUACAACGGAGUACUUAAAUCAAGAAAGAGAAUGAUUGCGUGAAAAAAAUAAUUAUAUUCAUCUGA
rnacentral:lncRNA from 1 species